rnacentral:rRNA from 1 species
UACGUAGGUGGCAAGCGUUAUCCGGAAUUAUUGGGCGUAAAGCGCUCGCAGGCGGUUUCUUAAGUCUGAUGUGAAAGCCCACGGCUCAACCGUGGAGGGUCAUUGGAAACUGGGGAACUUGAGUGCAGAAGAGGAGAGUGGAAUUCCACGUGUAGCGGUGAAAUGCGUAGAGAUGUGGAGGAACACCAGUGGCGAAGGCGGCGUCCUGGACUGGUACUGACGCUCAGGAGCGAAAGCGUGGGGAGCGAUCCGG